rnacentral:lncRNA from 1 species
GCGGUGGCUUGGGUCUCCACGUUAGGCUGCUGCGAGGAACUGCAACUGAAAUCAGGGAAAUCAGUUUGCUCCAAGCUGGGUCCAGACGAAGAGAGAGAAAAAAAAAAAAAGAGAGCGUGAAGAAGAAAUGCCACUUAGGAGAUGUGAAUGGGUCACAGGGCUACAUGUGCUGGAAGCUACACAGAAGUCUCAUGCAAGUGGUGCCUGUUGUUUUCCUGACCGGAGCCUGCUUUCUUUAGAGUUGUCGAGGGAUUCGCUGUCCUCACGACUGACUGCGCCGGGCAGGAUUCCAGAGGAUAACGCAAGUUUUCCCAGCGCUGGCUCUUUUUAUUCUAUAGUAGGCGUCAGCUUUAGAAUUUCAUAUAUUCUAUCCUGAUGCUAAGAAAAAUGACAAAUGUUUA